rnacentral:rRNA from 1 species
GGAUGAACGCUGGCGGCGUGCCUAAUACAUGCAAGUCGAGCGAAUGGAUUGAGAGCUUGCUCUCAAGAAGUUAGCGGCGGACGGGUGAGUAACACGUGGGUAACCUGCCCAUAAGACUGGGAUAACUCCGGGAAACCGGGGCUAAUACCGGAUAAYAUUUUGAACUGCAUGGUUCGAAAUUGAAAGGCGGCUUCGGCUGUCACUUAUGGAUGGACCCGCGUCGCAUUAGCUAGUUGGUGAGGUAACGGCUCACCAAGGCAACGAUGCGUAGCCGACCUGAGAGGGUGAUCGGCCACACUGGGACUGAGACACGGCCCAGACUCCUACGGGAGGCAGCAGUAGGGAAUCUUCCGCAAUGGACGAAAGUCUGACGGAGCAACGCCGCGUGAGUGAUGAAGGCUUUCGGGUCGUAAAACUCUGUUGUUAGGGAAGAACAAGUGCUAGUUGAAUAAGCUGGCACCUGACGGUACCUAACC